UACGUAGGGGGCGAGCGUUGUCCGGAUUUAUUGGGCGUAAAGAGCUCGUAGGCGGCUUGUUGCGUCGACUGUGAAAACCUGCGGCUCAACCGUGUGGUCUGCAGUCGAUACGGGCAGGCUGGAGGACGGGAGAGGGCGGCGGAAUUCCCGGUGUAGCGGUGAAAUGCGUAGAGAUACGGGAGGAACACCGGCGGCGAAGGCGGCCGCCUGGACCCGGGCCCCUGACGCUGAGGCGCGAAAGCUAGGGGAGCAAACAGG
rnacentral:rRNA from 1 species